UGAACGCUGGCGGCGUGCUUAACACAUGCAAGUCGAACGAGAAAGGGAUUGCUUGCAAUCCUGAGUAGAGUGGCGCACGGGUGAGUAACACGUAGAUAAUCUACCUUCAAGCCUGGGAUAACUAUUCGAAAGGAUAGCUAAUACCGGAUAAAGUAAUUUAUCAUAAGAUAACCUAUGAAAGAUUGCCUCUAUUUAUAAGCAAUUGUUUGGAGAUGAGUUUGCGGACCAUUAGUUUGUUGGUGGGGUAACGGCCUACCAAGACUGCGAUGGUUAGCUGGUCUGAGAGGAUGAUCAGCCACACUGGAACUGGUACACGGUCCAGACUCCUACGGGAGGCAGCAGUGAGGAAUUUUGCGCAAUGGGGGAAACCCUGACGCAGCAACGCCGCGUGAGUGAAGAAGGCCUUUGGGUCGUAAAGCUCUGUCGACAGGGAAGAAGUUAUGUUCAUCCAAUAGGUGAAUAUAUUGACGGUACCUGUAGAGGAAGCACCGGCUAACUCC
rnacentral:rRNA from 1 species